rnacentral:rRNA from 1 species
AUUGAACGCUGGCGGCAUGCUUUACACAUGCAAGUCGGACGGCAGCACAGAGAAGCUUGCUUCUUGGGUGGCGAGUGGCGAACGGGUGAGUAACAUAUCGGAACGUACCGAGCAGUGGGGGAUAACUAAUCGAAAGAUUAGCUAAUACCGCAUAUCUUCUGAGGAAGAAAGCAGGGGACCAUUUGGCCUUGCGCUGUUUGAGCGGCCGAUAUCUGAUUAGCUAGUUAGUGGGGUAAAGGCCUACCAAGGCGACGAUCAGUAGCGGGUCUGAGAGGAUGAUCCGCCACACUGGGACUGAGACACGGCCCAGACUCCUACGGGAGGCAGCAGUGGGGAAUUUUGGACAAUGGGCGCAAGCCUGAUCCAGCCAUGCCGCGUGUCUGAAGAAGGCCUUCGGGUUGUAAAGGACUUUUGUCAGGGAAGAAAAGGGCGGGGUUAAUACCCCUGUCUGAUGACGGUACCUGAAGAAUAAGCACCGGCUAACUACGUG